AGUGAACGCUGGCGGUAGGCCUGACACAUGCAAGUCGAACGGCAGCACGGUAAGAGCUUGCUCUUACGGGUGGCGAGUGGCGGACGGGUGAGGAAUACAUCGGAAUCUACUUUUUCGUGGGGGAUAACGUAGGGAAACUUACGCUAAUACCGCAUACGACCUACGGGUGAAAGCAGGGGAUCUUCGGACCUUGCGCGAUUGAAUGAGCCGAUGUCGGAUUAGCUAGUUGGCGGGGUAAAGGCCCACCAAGGCGACGAUCCGUAGCUGGUCUGAGAGGAUGAUCAGCCACACUGGAACUGAGACACGGUCCAGACUCCUACGGGAGGCAGCAGUGGGGAAUAUUGGACAAUGGGCGCAAGCCUGAUCCAGCCAUACCGCGUGGGUGAAGAAGGCCUUCGGGUUGUAAAGCCCUUUUGUUGGGAAAGAAAAGCAGCAGGUUAAUACCCCGCUGUUCUGACGGUACCCAAAGAAUAAGCACCGGCUAACUUCGUG
rnacentral:rRNA from 1 species